rnacentral:rRNA from 1 species
GACGAAGGUGGCAACCGUUGCUCGGAUUCACUGGGCAUAAAGCGCGCGUAGGUGGCAUAGCAGGUCAUCGGUGAAAUACCUCGGCUCAACCGAGGAAGUGCCGAUGAAACCGCUUUGCUUGAGGUCGGGAGAGGAGAGUGGAACUCUUGGUGUAGCGGUGAAAUGCGUAGAUAUCAAGAGGAACACCGGUGGCGAAAGCGGCUCUCUGGACCGAUCCUGACACUGAGGCGCGAAAGCUAGGGGAGCAAACAGG